CGCUGAACUUAAGCAUAUCAAUAAGGGGAGGAAAAGAAACUAACCAGGAUUCCCCUAGUAACGGCGAGUGAAGCGGGAAGAGCUCAAGCUUAAAAUCUCUAUGCAAGUUUUGCAUGGCGAAUUGUAGUCUAUAGAGGCGCUGUCAGUGCAGCUAUUUGGGAUAAGUUCCUUGGAAGAGGACAGCAUCGAGGGUGAUACUCCCGUUUGUGCCUGAGUAGCUUGUGCGUACGACACGUUUUCUUUGAGUCGCGUUGUUUGGGACUGCAGCGCAAAGUAGGUGGUAAAUUCCAUCUAAAGCUAAAUAUUGGUGCGAGACCGAUAGCGAACAAGUACCGUGAGGGAAAGAUGAAAAGAACUUUGAAAAGAGAGUUAAAGAGUACCUGAAACUGCUGAAAGGGAAGCGAAUCGUAUCCAGUGUCUAUAAUCUGUAGCAUAUUUCAUUGGCGAGUAGGUGCGUGCAGUAUGUAAGAAGUGGUUUUCUGCUCUUUGUGCUGUUCUGCGUUUGCUUGUUGGUGCCCUGUGUUGCGGUGGGACGUCAGAGUCAGUUCGUAUGCUGUGAGAAAUGGCUACUGAGGAGGUAGGUUAGGAGCUUGCUCUUGGCUGUUAUAUCUUGGUAGUUAGUUGUCGUGGUUGGGACUGAGGUGCCUACAAUGUGCUUUAAAGUGUUUGGGACUCUCGUUUGGUUACCUGUUUGGAUAGCUUGCUAUGCUGACGGAGUGAUUGGUCGAUUGAGAUCUAGAGUAACUUUUGCCGUUCGGGACUUUGACGAAAUGGAGCGAUUCGGCCCGUCUUGAAACACGGACCAAGGAGUCUAACAUGUGUGCAAGUGUUAGGGUGUGGAAACCCCAGCGCGAAAUGAAAGUAAAGGAUGGCGUACGCUGUCUGAGGUAGGAAACCUUUCUUCUGAGAGGUGGCACUAUCGACCGAUCAUGAACCCUCGUGGUGAAAGAUUUGAGUUUGAGCACAUAUGUUGGUACCCGAAAGAUGGUGAACUAUGCCUGAGUAGGGUGAAGCCAGGGGAAACUCUGGUGGAAGCUCGUAGCGAUUCUGACGUGCAAAUCGAUCGUCAAACUUGGGUAUAGGGGCGAAAGACUAAUCGAACCAUCUAGUAGCUGGUUCCCUCCGAAAUUUCCCUCAGGAUAGCAGCAACUUAUUUACGAUAGUUUUAUGAGGUAAAGCGAAUGAUUAGAGGUCUGGGGGAAGAAACUUCCUUCGCCUAUUCUCAAACUUUAAAUCUGUAAGACCUGCAGGUUUCUUAAUUGAACUUGUGGAUGUGAAUAUCAAGUUGCUAGUGGGCCAUACCGGGUAAGCUGGUCUGGCG
rnacentral:rRNA from 1 species